UUUUGUGUUUGAAGAUUAUAAAGUCCUAUUUAUUGUGAACAGAGGAUGGUUAGUGAUUUUUAUAUAUUGCCAGCUAAAUCAGUCAUUCCUUCAGAGAAUGAAUGGUUCUUCUUUUCUUCUCGUGGAAGGAAGUACCCAAAUGGCUCACAAAGUAAGAGAGCAACUGAAUCUGGCUAUUGGAAAGCCACUGGGAAAGAACGAAAUGUGAAGUUAGGAUCUAAUUUGAUUGGCACAAAAAGGACACUGGUGUUCCACACAGGUCGUGCACCAAAAGGGGAGUGGACAAAAUAGAUAAUGCAUGAGUAUUGUAUGAAUGGAAAUCCUCAGCAGCAAAGAGUAGACACAAAUAUUGCAGAUGGCUGUGAUGCUCUGAAUCUGGGUGUGGCUGCUGAUAGCCUUUGGUUGUUUUUAUUUGUGGUGUUUGGCUUGGGGUUUGAUCUUGUAGUUGAAGGUUGGUAAUGGCAAAGAUUGCAUACCUCGUAAUGGACAAUGGAAUUUUAACAAGCAACUCUUCACCCCCAUCCAAAUAGAACGGUGGGAAGUUGUCAACUUCUCUGCUCAUUGUGAUACAAGUCAUCUUUCCCGAGAACUUAUUAACUGUGGAAGGAACAAGGGCCUUGAUGUGCUCUUUCAAGUUCAUUGGUUGACAGCGAUGCUAACCAAUUUCUUAUUCUCUAUGGCAAGAGACUCCAUGUGAGCUACUAAGCAGAUUCUGACGCUGUAUCUACUGAAUGGGAAGUUGAGAGUGAUGAUGAAAGUGAGGAAGAAUCUGAAUGUGGGUUAACAACUUUGGUUGACAUGCCUCUUAACAUUUUUCCAUCUAUAGUUUCUAAAGAAACUUUUGAACUCAAGGUAUGGAUGGUUGAAC